AUUUUAAGGGGGAAAAACGUGUUCUUUCCUUCCUGUAGGCUUGUGUACUGACUGCACAGGAAGAAAUAAUCAACCUAGUUUAUUCUGAACCCAGUCAGUUCCUGACCACAUUCCGUAAAUGCAGGCAUUUGGAAGAAAACAAACUGAUCCACAGGUAACAGAAACCAAAACCUGUGCCGAUGGAGAGAUAGGAAACUGUGACUAAAUGAUUCCAGAAUUCAUGUCAGAUGUCAAAUCUCUAGCCAUUUAAGUAACACAAUCUUGGGGCAGGCACUGUGGUGCAGCAGGUUAAAGCCCUGGCCUGAAGCGACGGCAUCCUAUAUGGGUGCCGGUUCUAGUCCUGGCUGCUUGUCUUCCGAUCCAGCUCUCUGCUGAUGGCCUGGGAAAGCAGUAGAAGAUGGCCCAAGUCCUUGGGCCCCUGUACCCAUGUGGGAGACCUGGAAGAAGCUCCUGGCUCCUGGCUUUGGAUCGGCACAGCUCCAGCCAUUGCAGCCAUCUGAGGAGUGAAUCAGCAGAUGGAAGACCUCUCUCUGUGUCUCUACCUCUCUCGCUAAAAAGGUGAUUAUGCUGAGUGUUAUUGUUAAGAAAUCGGGAAUGAAGAAAGAAAAAAUGAAUGCCAAUGGUAUAAUUAGAAGACAUAUUUAUAAAUAUGAGGGUGCAAAACCUGUUGUAUAGAUCCAGCUCUCUGCUGUGGCCUGGGUAAGCAGUAGAAGAUGGCUCAUGUCCUUGGGCCCCUGCUCCAGCGUGGGAGACCAGGAAGAAGCUCCUGGCUCCUGGCUUCGGAUCAGCGCAGCUCCGGCCAUUGCGGCCAUUUGGGGAGUGAACCAACAGAAGGAAGACCUUUCUCUCUGUCACUCCCUUUCUCUGCGCUGACACAUAUACUCCUGCAACGUGUACAUAGGAAGGGCAUAGAAGCCAAUCAUUAUGAUAAUAUGUGCCUUUUUAGAACCUGCUCAAUCCAACAAACAAAAAUAUCAACGAAAUCACACCACAAGUUGCACUGAAACAAGGCCCUCUCUAUCAAGGCCACCUGGGAGAUUGCUUCGACAUAACAUAGAAAUCCUGUUGCCUAGAUGAGAAAGUCUACACGUCUUGAGCCGAAGAUUUUUCAGAACUUGAUGACAGAAGGUUUUCAGCCACGCUCCUGCUUUCUUUACCAAAUACCCCAUUUAUUGCUUUGAAAUUGGCCUUUUCCUUUACAUGUCUUGCUCUGAGAACAUUGUGCUCAGAGAAAUGGGGAAUGAGAGACUGUUCUAAUUUAAACUCUAGUAUGUCUCUGAAUCUUUAUGUUUCCUCUUAAUCUUCUGGAAGAAUGGAAUGCUUAUCUCUAAAUUACUUCUUGUUUCUUAUUUUAUCUUAAAGACCUAUGAGAAGUCAGCUGACAAUUUCUAUGUUCUGCCUGGAAUUCUCCCCAGUGAGAUGGAUGGCUCCUUAGCUGUCCUGUCUUUGCUUCAUUUAACUGUAGAGAAGAGCUGAGAAACAUUUUACCACUAGAUAAAAGGAAGUUCUUGCUCUAAACACUGUGUGUUUCACAUAUGAUCUUUCAACUCCAUGCUAGUAGUCAUUUCAAGGCCUCUCCAGCAUCCAAAAAUGUUCUUCAAAUUUUUUUUAGUUUCUACCUGAUGCCACCAACUCAGUGACACUUGUUUUAAGUUUGAAUAGACAAAGGUCCCCACUUCUUGCAAACAGAUUCUGUUCUGAUCAUCUGUUGCUGCAAAAUAAAUAAUGCCCAAAAUAGCAGGUAAAAGCAAUAAUAAUUUUAUUCUAUCACUUGAUUUUGUGGAUCAGGAAUUUGAUGGGAACUAAGGCAAUUUUUUCAUUACAUUGCUGAGGUUGCUUGGUGGUUUUCAUCUGGCAGAGGCUGUAUAGUUGGUCAGCUGUGGCUGCUCACACAUCUGUAGCCUUCAGGAGGAUGCCUGGAAGCCUGUUCUCACUGGGACUAUCCACUAGUUUGCCUAAGUAUGGUCUCACUAGCUCCAAAGACAGUAUCUGGGUAGAUACAGAAGGCUUCUAAUUACCCAGCCUGGGAAGUCCUAUCAAGUCUUUUCCACUGUAUUCUCUCAGUCCAGUAAGUCACUACAAGCUAGAUUCAAAUGCAGAAAAUUUUACAUUAUCUUUUGAUGAAAGAAAGAGCAAAUAAUUUGCAGUCAUUUCUAAUGUACUACACAUUUCUAUGACACAAAAUCAUUUUAUACAAGGAUUAAUCUUUACAUAGGGUUUGAACAUGUUCUACAUGAAGGUUGUUUUGAAAUAAGUAGUUAAUGCCCCCAAUAAAUAAUGCUGUUGUAUUUAAGAUCCAUAUCAUUAAUUUUCAUGAGGAAAUUCUGAGUGGUAAAAUAACUAGUCUACAAAUACGUGUUUAAAAUCAUCACUAACUAAAUAUUUCAUGUCCAUGCUGUUAUGAUUCUAUUGUGAAGUGCAAAUACAUCUUGAGGAAGAUAAAAUAUUAUGUAGGAGUAUUUGUGUAUAAUAGUCUUGUGUCUAAUUAAAUUUGGAAAAGUUUUUCACAAUACAAAGUACUGCAGAUAUGGUCUGUGUUAGGUCUUGGUCAGGCAAAUCUAGAAAUUACUUUCAGUGGUAGAAAUUUUUAUCUGUGGUAGAAUGCAAAAAUGACCAAAAUUUUUAAGCAUUCCAAAGUUCAUGACCUUGCCAAGUAACUUUAUAGUAAAUUUAUAUAUAUAUUUUUAAAAUUUCCCCCAUGGUGACCCUGACCUGGCCAAAAGAAAUAAAAAUGACACUUUGUCAAUUAGGAAUGUGGAUAUCAUGAAUCCUUUCCAGCUUGCACCUCUGUUAUUGCUAUAAACAUGAGCUCAGACUUGCUUGCCAGAGAAUAAGUGAGUAUAGCUGAAUUGCCCUUCUCACUCUAGGUAGAGUCAGCAUUGUCUAGCCAAUAGUCAGUGCACCCUCAGGCAUGUGAGUCUGAAACCCAACAAACUCCAAAUUGAGCAGAGACUAAAUCACCAGCACACAGCUAAAUAAGUACUAUUAUUGACUUGUGAUGAUUCCUCUAUUAAGAUACAUUUGGUACAGAAAGCGGCAUCAGGAGCAGGAUGAUGACAUAUAAAACUAAAAUAUUUAGCAAUAAUUCAGGAAUCAAGAGGUAGGUAAAGGGAAAAUACUUAGUAAGAUGAUCUGACACUAUCAAGGGAGUUGCCAUAGAAAAGUAAAACAUGGUAACAUUCUGUAGCUGCAAAACAUUUGAUAAAACUCUUACUAACAAAUGUCUUAUCUUGGACACAGAGAGUGAGUUAAAUACAGCAGUUGAGUUAAAUACAGCAGUUGCCGGAAAAAAUGCUAUAGUAAAGAGAGGAGCUCAGAACAGUGCUGGAAGUAGGCAAAUAGAAAGAAGGAGAGAGGGCCUAGAAUCUAGGCUGAAAUAUAGAAUUGUUUCUAUUUCUAGCAUUUCGUGCUAUACGUGACCCCAUGGAUAAGGCGAAAUCAUGACUAUUGCUAUGGAUCAUUUUUUAAAAAGACUUAUUUACUUAUUUGAAAGUCAGAGUUAGAGAAAGAAAGAGACGGAAAGUCAAAAAGAGAGCUCUUCCAUCCACUGGUUCACUCUUCAGGUGGUCACAGUAGCCAGGGGUGGGCCAGACCAAAGCCAGGAGCCAGGAGAUUUGCCCAGGUGUCACAAGUAGGUGACAGGGACCCAAACACUUGCCCCGUCUUCCACUGCUUUUCUCAGGAUACUAGUAGGGAGAUAGAUCAGAAGUGGAGCAGCUGGGACCCAAAUUGGUACCCAUACGGGUUGCUGGUAUUGCAACCAGUGGCUUUACCUGCUGUGGUAGAAUACCAGCCCCAAAAUGGAUCAAUUUUUUAAGACUUCUGAAAGAAUUAAGUAGUUAAUGGUAUAUUCCCUCACCUGAGCAAAAAUGACUUAGAAACUGAAUGUCAUGGUUCCGAAGAAGUUGUUAUAACCCAAGUAUCAGAAUCAAAAGUUAUAAAGAGAUGUACAUUUCAAAAGAAAACAAUAACAGAAAAUUGAAUAUGACUUUGGGACUUAAAGUGGACUAUAUCAAAUAUUGAAAACACUCAACAUUUCUGAGAGUUUCUUUAGUGAAAGAAUCUAUAGGCUAAUCUGAACUGAGACUUUUCAAAGUGUAGAUAGGCCUUUAGGACACUGAAUUUAAAUAUAUGAUCAGAAAUCAAUUGAGUUAUCUUAACAAGUCGUAUUCUUGAAUGUUGUUUUGAGAAGUGGAAAAGAGUUCAUAGAAAAGAAAAAACAGGAGUAGGCAUUUUGGCAUAGCACUUAAGCCUCUGCCUGUGAUGCCAACAUCCAAAAGGGUGCCUGUUCUAGUCCUAGGUGCUCCACUUCUGAUCCAACUCCCUGCUAAUGUGCCUGGGAAAGCAACAGAGAGUGACCCAAAUGUUUGGGCCCCUGCACCCAUGUGGGAAACCCAGAAGAAGCUCCUGGCUCCUGGCUUCGGCCUGGAGAGUGAGCCAGUAGAUGGAAAAUCUCUGUCUUUCCUUCUCUUUCUCUCUCUGUAAAAUCGAUCUCUCUCACUCUCUCUUUCUCUCUCUCUCUCUUCUCUCCAUCUCUCUUCUCUUUCUGUCACCUCCUCUCUCUGUAACUCUGCCCUUUAAAAUAAAGAUAAGAUGAAAAAAAAAAAAAAGAAAUAAAGAAAGAAAAGGAAAAACAUUCCAGAAGGCAGAGCUAAAAACUGUGAAAUAAUGGGAAAACCUUCAUAGUAUCAGUAUUGGGCCAAGAAUAUUCCCAGUAUCCAGAAUAGACAAUCUAGCUAUAACUGCCCAGUGUACUAUCAGAAUUUCUAGAUGAGUAAUUACAAAAGAACUUCCAUCUUUUGUCUUUACAAAUGAAAGUAUUUAUUGGUAUGAUCCCACCACUGUUUCACCACAGUAUGUUGGAUAAAAGUGGUAUGGAAUACUUGUCUUCUUUAAAAAAAAAAUCCAGAUCAGGAGCAACAAAACUAGGCAGAGAUUGAUGAGCAUAUCAGUUAAGUUGCCCAAUGAGCCAUCCAUGUCCUAUAGUGGAGUGCCCUGGUUAGAAUCCAAGCUCCAGCUCCCCACUCCAGGUUUCUACUAAUCUAGACCCUGUAAGACAGCAAUGAUAGCUCAAGUAAUUGGGUUUCUGUGGGAGACCUGGAUUGAGUUCACAGGUCCCAGCUUUGGCUUGGCCCAUUCUUAACCAUUAGAGGCAUUUGAGGAUAAACCAACAUGUGAGGCCUCAGAAUGUCUGAAUGUCUGUCUCUCAGUAAAUGAGUCCAAUCAAGACCUGAAAAUUGCCUAUAGGAGCCCAGUGUCUUUUUAAGACAAUAUUAUAUUAAGUUACUUAUUCUUUGGCACUUCUGUGACCAUAUUGGAUAUAUUUUAAAUUUUUAAUGAAAUACUUUAUAUAAAUAUAAAAGUAUUAGUAAUCUUAAGGCUUGUAUAUCAAAGUUAAGAAAUAAACAUUCCAGAUCCAUUUGAAGACUCUGUUGUAUAACUUGACAUCCAAUUUCCCUUUUUCAGUAUUUUUGGAGAUCAGCACAUUCUUAUAUAUUUAUUCUUCAGCAUUUCCACAGUUUACCAUGUAUUUUUAUAUAAACUAAAUAUAUCAUUAUUUUACUUUUCAAAAAUUGUUACCUUUCUUUGUAACCUGUAAUAACUUUUAUUAACUAGUAUUAUGUAUUUUUAACAUUUAAUAAUUUAAAGCACAUUGCUCCCAUUCAAUCUUUUUCAUUAUCUUAUUACAUUAUGUUGUAUAGGUGUGCCACAAUGUACUAAAGAUGUUUCAUCUACUUGAGUACUAUUUUAUCAUUUUAGGCCAUGGGACAUCAUUUUCUGUACUAUUUAGAUGUAGAAAUUUGUUUUUAAAUUUUAUGUCCAUUGUUCUAAGUUGCUGAGGCAAUGAAAAGUCCUUAGACCAGCAUGUAUUUUAUUCCUGCUUCUGGAUUUGUGUCAUGCACUCAGCUAACUAACACUAAAUGUAAUACUAUCCACACUGACAUAUUCCACACCUUUGCAAAACAGGCAAAGUUUAUGAAGAUGUAGACUGGUUUCAACUACCAGGAACGUUAAGAAAGUUUUCAAAAUAAAACCUCUUUAAUGACUUUAUAUAGUUGUAGUCAUUAUGAUAUCACUCCUGGAGAAUAAUUUGCAUUAAUUGUUUACAGUUUGAAAGAGUCAGAACAAACUACUCAGCGAUUCAGUUUUUAGCUUCAGCCUGGCAUCAUCACUCUUGGUGGGAAUUAAGAUACAGAUUGGUUCACACCUUGUACUUAGAAGGUGGUAUUGAAAUUUGACAGGUGCAACAGAUGCCUCUUAAUUGGGUAGUUCUUAAGAAAUUGGAACACAAUUAUAUUAAACGUUUAUUUUAUUUUUCAGAAUAUCUCUUAGUGAUACUACAUGAGGUUUGCUUUUCCUGAAAAGAUACAAACAUGUUACUUUUACAAAGCAAUUCAAGUGUGCAAGGUGAGGGAAACUAUUGUUUCAGAAACAGAAAAGGCAAGGUGUUCAAGUAAAAUACUUGAUCUCUAUUGUGGAUGAUGGCUGUGAUGCAUAAUGUUGACCUUACCAAAGUCCCUAUGUUGAAAUUAUAGAUUCCACUUCAUUCACUAUUGAGAAGAGUUUAAUGUUGAAAUUUAUGGAAAUCUAAAUUUAUCCUUAUUAAAGAAUCCUGUAAGUAAAUUUUAUGUCGCAAGACAAAACUUGUAAAGUUAGAAAUGAUUGACACCAGUAAUUACUCUAAAGAUUCAAUUAUUUUUACUAAACAAUAUUUUUUAAAAAUUUGUUUAUAUGAAAGUCAGAGUCACACAGAGAGAGAAGGAGAGGCAGAUAGAGAAAGAGGAAGAGAGAUACAGAGAGAGAGAGAGAGGUCUUCCAUCCGCUGGCUAACCCCUCAAAUGGCUGUAAUGGCUGGAACUGCACCAAUCUAAAGCCAGGAGCCAGAGCUUCUUCUGGGUCUCCCAUGCAGGUGCAGGGCCCAAGGAACCAGACCAUCUUCUACUAUUUUUGCAGGCCAUAGCAGAGAGCUGGAUUGGAAGUGGAGCAGCCAGGACUAGAACUGGCACCCAUAUGGGAUGCCAGCACUGCAAGUGGCAGCCUAACCCACUACUCCACAAAGCUGACCUCAACAAUAUUUUUUUAAUUAUGAAACAGUCCGUACUUUCAUUAUCAUAAUAUACAAGACUUAGGGUCCUUAUAAACCAAGGAGAGUUUACAUGAAGUAAUUCUCAAGAAUUUCCCUUAAAAUUACGUAUUUUAUAAUCAUAUUAUUCUCAUUUUUAUUUUGAAUUAUACUUCUCUAAACUUUAAAAAUAAUUUGAAGAGGAUGGCUCUGUGGUACAGAUAGUUAAAGCCCUGGCCUACAAUGUCAGCAUCCUGUAUGAGUGCCAGUCUUGUCCCAGUUGCUGCACUUCAGAUCCAGCUACCUGCUAAUGCACCUGGGAAAGCAGCAGAGGAUGGUUCAAGUUCUUGAGCCCCUGCACCCACAUCAGAAAUCUAGAAGAAGCUCCUGGUCUCUGGCUUCUGGCUUCAUCUGGCCUAUCUCUGGCCAUUGUUGCCAUUUGAGGAGUGAACUAACAGAUGGAAGGCCACUCUCUUUGCCUCUACUCUUUGUGUAACUCUGUCUUUCAAAUAAAUAAAAUAAAUCUUCAAAAAAAAUUAAGUGAACAUCAUUUUAGGUAUAUAUUAUCUAAAAAUUUCAAUAUAAAAUGUGUGAAUCACAAUGGCAAAUGAUUGAAUACUACAUCAGUUGA